rnacentral:rRNA from 1 species
GGAAAGUGGGGGGGGGAGGCGGCGGAAAUAGUGGGGGGGGAGUGGUUGGGCGGAGUUAUAGGGGGGAAAGGGGGGGUAUGCGGCUAGAUAGGUCCGCUGUGAAAACUCGAGGCUCAACCGCGAGACGCCGGUGGAAACCAUCUAGCUAGAGUCCGGAAGAGGAGAGUGGAAUUCCUGGUGUAGCGGUGAAAUGCGCAGAUAUCAGGAAGAACACCCGUGGCUAAGGCGGCUCUCUAGUACGGUACUGACGCUGAGACGCGAAAGCGUGGGGAGCGAACAGGAUUAGAUACCCGAGUAGUC